CCGGGAGCAGGUGAGGAGGAAGCUUCCUUUUCCCUCAGGGGCUUCCCGCCGCCAUCUUGCGCCCGAGGGCUCCCUCCGCAGCUCGGCGACAGGGAGACACCCAGCCAGGUGAAACAAAACUACAGAUAAUGAGGAAGUCAAGAAAAAUGCAAGCAGGAGGCAUUAGGCAUUAAUUGAAAAGGUAAAAAUGAAGAUAUUUAUAACGAUCAAACUCUUCUACUCUGCCAACAAGUACCUGCAAUUCUUGACAUUCCCAGAUGUCCAGUUGCCAGAGCAAUUCAGAAUUAAUGUAACCAGACAUACUAACGUGUUACAUAGGAGCAACAGACAAAAGUGCCCCUUGAUGUUACUGUCAUCUGCAAUAUCCAGCUGCAUCUGAACAGUCAUACAGUAGAAGCUACACUAGGAAUCUGAAUACUGGAAAGAACUACAUAGCUUUUUAUAUGUCAGAAAGUUCUCAUCUGUGCAGAGCCUGUAGUUUGUCUGAAUGGAAAACAGUCAAAACAACUGUAGGUAAAAUAUUUUAUCAAAGAAUUUCAAAAAUACAUCAAAGCUGAAUAUAGCACAAAUAAUGCAAAAGUAGUAGAACAUUUGAAUCUCUGU